AUUCAGUUGACGAGUCCCAAAUAGGACGGAACAUAUGUCCUGGAU
rnacentral:hammerhead_ribozyme from 1 species